rnacentral:tRNA from 1 species
AGGGUUAUAGCUCAGUUUUAGAGCAUUUGUCUAGCAUGCAAAAUGUUCUAGGCUCAAUCCCUAGCAACACAU